rnacentral:rRNA from 1 species
AUUGAACGCUGGCGGCAUGCUUUACACAUGCAAGUCGAACGGCAGCACGGGUGCUUGCACCUGGUGGCGAGUGGCGGACGGGUGAGUAAUACAUCGGAACGUAUCCUAAAGUGGGGGAUAACGCAUCGAAAGAUGUGCUAAUACCGCAUACACUCUGAGGAGGAAAGUAGGGGAUCGAAAGACCUUAUGCUUUUGGAGCGGCCGAUGUCUGAUUAGCUAGUUGGUAAGGUAAUGGCUUACCAAGGCAACGAUCAGUAGUUGGUCUGAGAGGACGACCAGCCACACUGGGACUGAGACACGGCCCAGACUCCUACGGGAGGCAGCAGUGGGGAAUUUUGGACAAUGGGCGCAAGCCUGAUCCAGCAAUGCCGCGUGAGUGAAGAAGGCCUCGGUUGUAAGACUCUUCUAGUUGUAGAAGAAAGAA